CUAGAUUCGCCAGUGCGAGCUUCGAGGUGGUGGGUACAACGUCCGGUUGUAACUCCCUGGCCAAACCCACAAGUUCCUGACCGUUGUGUGUGGCUAGUACCUAGGAUCUAGACAGGCCCACUGACCAACACUAUUGUUUUCUACGCAUUUUGUACUUACUCGUGUAUACCUUGGAUCAAUUUUUCAAUUAGUCACACAUCCUCAAAUUUCUUCAAAGUUAGUCACAC
rnacentral:lncRNA from 1 species